rnacentral:rRNA from 1 species
GAUGAACGCUAGCUACAGGCUUAACACAUGCAAGUCGAGGGGUAACGAGAGGAAAGCUUGCUUUCCUUGUCGACGACCGGCGCACGGGUGAGUAACGCGUAUCCAACCUGCCCCCAACUAGGGAAUAACCUUGCGAAAGUAAGACUAAUACCCUAUAAUUUCCUCAGAUGACAUCUGACGAGGAAUAAAGAUUUAUCGGUUGUGGAUGGGGAUGCGUCUGAUUAGCUUGUUGGCGGGGUAACGGCCCACCAAGGCAACGAUCAGUAGGGGUUCUGGGAGGAAGGUCACCCACAUUGGAACUGAGACACGGUCCAAAAUCCUACGGGAGGCAGCAGUGAGGAAUAUUGGUCAAUGGGCGGAAGCCUGAACCAGCCAAGUAGCGUGCAGGAUGACGGCCCUAUGGGUUGUAAACUGCUUUUAUACAGGAAUAAAGUUAGCCACGUGUGGUUAUUUGUAGGUACUGUAUGAAUAAGGACCGGCUAAUUCCGUGCCAGCCGCCGCCGUAA